AGCGAACGCUGGCGGCAGGCCUAACACAUGCAAGUCGAACGCCCCGCAAGGGGAGUGGCAGACGGGUGAGUAACGCGUGGGAACGUACCCUUCGGUUCGGAAUAACUCAGGGAAACUUGGGCUAAUACCGGAUACGUCCGGGAGGAGAAAGAUUCAUCGCCGAAGGAGCGGUGCGCGUAAGGUUAGCUAGUUGGUAGGUAACGGCUCACCAAGGCGAUUAUCUUUAGCUGGUCUGAGAGGACGAUGAGACACACUGGGACUGAGACACGGCCCAGCAUCCUACGGGAGGCCGCCGGGGGGAAUAUUGGACAAUGGGCGAAAGCCUGAUCCAGCCAUGCCGCGUGAGUGGUGAAGGCCUUAGGGUUGUAAAGCUCUUUCGGCGGGGACGAUAAUGACGGUACCCGCAGAAGAAGCCCCGGCUAACUUCGUGCCAGCCGCCGCCGUAACAC
rnacentral:rRNA from 1 species